rnacentral:rRNA from 1 species
ACCAACAGGGAUUGCCCUAGUAACGGCGAGUCAAGCSGCAACAGCUCAAAUUUGAAAUCUGGCUCUUUCAGAGUCCGAGUUGUAAUUUGCAGAGGGCGCUUUGGCUUUSGCAGCSGUCCAAGUUCCUUGGAACAGGACGUCACARAGGGUGAGAAUCCCGUACGUGGUCGCUAGCUAUUGCCGUKUAAAGCCCCUUCGACGAGUCGAGUUGUUUGGGAAUGCAGCUCUAAAUGGGAGGUAAAUCUCUUCUAAAGCUAAAUAUUGGCCAGAGACCGAUAGCGCACAAGUAGAGUGAUCGAAAGAUGAAAAGCACUUUGGAAAGAGAGUCAAACAGCACGUGAAAUUGUUGAAAGGGAAGCGCUUGCAGCCAGACUUGCUUGCAGUUGCUCAUCCGGGCUUUUGCCCGGUGCACUCUUCUGCAGGCAGGCCAGCAUCAGUUUGGGCGGUGGGAUAAAGGUCUYUGUCACGUACCUCUCUUCGGGGAGGCCUUAUAGGGGAGGCGACAUACCACCAGCCUGGACUGAGGUCCGCGCAUCUGCUAGGAUGCUGGCGUAAUGGCUGUAAGCGGCCCGUCUUGAAACACGGACCAAGGAGUCUAACAUCUAUGCGAGUGUUUGGGUGUCAAGCCCGAGCGCGUAAUGAAAGUGAACGGAGGUGGGAACCCGCAAGGGCGCACCAUCGACCGAUCCUGAAGUUUACGGAAGGA